rnacentral:rRNA from 1 species
CUGACACAGGUGCUGCAUGGCUGUCGUCAGCCCGUGUCGUGAGAUGUUGGGUUAAGGUCCGUAACGAGCGCAACCCCUGUCCUUAGUUACCAGCACGUUAUGGUGGGCGACUCUAAGGAGACUGCCGGUGACAAACCGGAGGAAGGUGGGGAUGACGUCAAGUCAUCAUGGCCCUUACGGCCUGGGCUACACACGUGCUACAAUGGUCGGUACAAAGGGUUGCCAAGCCGCGAGGUGGAGCUAAUCCCAUAAAGCCGAUCGUAGUCCGGAUCGCAGUCUGCAACUCGACUGCGUGAAGUCGGAAUCGCUAGUAAUCGUGAAUCAGAAUGUCACGGUGAAUACGUUCCCGGGCCUU